AGAGAACGUCUCAUAAAGUCACCUAACGACUCUGAAAAAUGCAGACUUUCCUCUUUCCACCCGUGUUUACCUCUCGGUUAUUUGGUGGAGAGAAAGGGAAGAACUGAGCUGCAGCAGAGAGGAGUUCUUAUCUUCAGACUGUCGGACGACCAGACAAACCUUGACAGCGACGACAAAUCUUGUCCCGUUCUUCUGACUCCUCGUCUAUCAAACACACCCUCGACUAACCCUGAAGCCUUGUGGAGAGAUUUAUGAGCUCUUGCUGGAUUUCCUGCAUACCAACAUGUUCAUACAUCAAGCGUAUAUGGAGGGAUUUCCUCUCUGACACCUCUGUUUGGUGGCUUGCCAAAGUGGAAAUUUGACAUCUUUACAUUUCCUUACAACUCGCUGAUGUUGGCCCAGAAAGGACUUCGGAUGCAGGUCCCGACUUACAUGAUGUCAUCACACGAGACGAUGAACACCGGUUACAGCUGUCGGCUGAGUCGGGCUAAUGGGUCCUGAUGCGAUGAGGCAGAACUGCGUAUGUGUUCCAGGCAACAACGUCCAUAUGGUGAGAAAAAAGUGGAGGCCAUACGUCCGUCAGCGCCGUCUGCAGCGCUUCCUCGCAGGGAAACAAGCAAACCUGAUGAUUCCUGCUGGAACCAGUUGCUUAAAGCUGCUUUCUCUCGUGACCACCUCUGGAUUUUUUCUGUCUGGCUGUUAAUCCGGUCGUCUCAGGGCUCCUUGCUUCGAGACUCCAGUGUUCCUCUCCAUCUUUGGUUGACGGUUUGAGAGUUUGGCAGAGGGACGGCGAUACAAAAAGGUUCUCGAGACGACAGAUCGUCUUCAUCCCCUUCCGUCAAAGCCAGCAGGCUGCGUGAAAAAGCACAAGGCCUGGCGAAAGGCUCUCGCAAAGAAAAUCAUUUAGCCUCUCUUGCUUUUCCGUCGGAGCUCUUGACUGUGUCUCGCUGGAACUGGCACGAGUGAUUGACAGAUAGCAGCGGAGUGAAAUCAUGAGGCAGCUUAAUUGGCUGUAAAAUCUAAAGCCGCCGCCAGCAGCUCUGUGAGGCUGAACACGGGCGAAGCUGUGCUUUUAACA